rnacentral:lncRNA from 1 species
GGUUGAUGCUGUGAAUGCGCUCGGUCAUCCCCUUGCAACUGAUGUCACCUGCAGCAUGUCAACGCAGACACAAAACAGGGCAUGGGUCAGAUCUAGCUGGUUGCAUUCCUAACACCUAGGUUUCAGAGUAAAAAUACAGAGUCAGCUUGUGAUGGCAUUCCCUCAAAACAUGGAAGGAAUUGCAGUAAUGAAAGUCAUCAUGUAUUCUAAGAGACUGUUCUGCGAGAGCACAACACAGACGGGGCUAAAGCAGGGUGAGAAGCAAAAGUGCUCAGGAGUUAAGAGAAGCAGACGUCCGAAAUUAUCUCCAUGCAUUACCAAAAACCGUGGGCACCACGGCACGGGGAAAACUUACCAGGUACAAUGAGCCAGUGACUGUUACUGAAUUUCUUAAGAUUACACUUUUCCCAACUACUGCAGACUGCUUCAGAAUAGAAGAAGACAACUCUCAUGCCAUCAAGCCGACGGACUUUCAAAAAAAUAAAAGAUGCAUUUCUUUACUUGAGCUACGGUGAAAGGGCACCUAAGGUGAAUGGACAGAUUGUAGAUGGGUGCACACAGGAAAAUGUACAGCUCCUACAAUGUAUUCUGAGCUUUACUAAGGGAAUUAAUUAUCUGGAAGAACAGGAACAUACAGGCCCAUGAGAAGUAAAAGCAGGCACUGGCAUUCUGCACAGAUGAAAUACUUCCUACGACAGGAAUACAUGCUCACUUGUGGACUUCUCUGUAAUCUGUAGGCAACAUCAGCUCCUGAUUUCUAGGUCUGGAUCUGGGUUCUCUGUAGCACAGGAAGCAUAGUUACUCUGUGAUGAAGAAAAACUCAGAAAACUAUCCAGAUGUGGGAAUUUCUCGGGUAUUCCUUGCACUUGAACUUAAGGAUGAAUGAAGGUAUAUACAAGUCUCUACUUCUCCUACAUAAAUGCCUUGCAUGGCGGGAACUAAAUCAACUACACAGACCCAUACAUCCAGAGAGCAGAGGUGAGCUGGAUACAAGUGGCUUAGAGAUGUGGUGGAAGGAGGCCAGAGCUCCAAGGGAAGGGCAGCAAGGAGACAACAGCAUGGGUUGCAGCUCAGACAACAGGUAAAUAAAACCAAGCAAAGCUGCUGGUCACAGAUUUGACCAGGGUGGCAAGAAAUGACAAGCUACCAUGAGAUUCAACAGUGGCACGGAAGGAUGAUGAGAAGCAAACAGAUUAGGAGAAGCUGCCACCACCGUACAUAGAGGCACAGAUGACCAAGCAGAACAGCACCAGUCCCUGCAAGGUGUGCUCAGAUACAGCUCAGCACAGCCAUCUGGCCAGGAGGGAAUGAUAAUGCACAUGGUGUGCACUGCAGCCGGGAAGUUGAGAACCGCUGUGGGCACCUCAGGACUGAGUCUGGUUACCCUGCUGAUCCAAGAAAUGAAGCCAUCUAAAAUUUUGCCUGCUUUCACAAUUUUCUGUGUGUGUGUGUGUGUAUUAAACAAAGUGAACUAAGAAGCCUUUUAUUGGAGACAUAAUGUACUCACAGUAGUUUCAAAAUCAAUGGUGUCACUCUUCAGGUAAAUUACUCCAAGGCUUGGGCCUAGUGCAGAUGUUCAUUGGGGCAGGGAGCAGAGAGCGGCUGCAUCUAGAUCAGACAAAAAACAAAAAUAAGGUUGUUAAAUGAACAGGUGAUGGUGAUGGCAAUUAUUUAUUUUGAUAGGAAAG